CAUUUAGCUGCUUCCUGACAUGAGCUCCCUAUGGACUCCCAUUUCUAUGUGUAAAUCCCUCCCUUCAGCACAUAGUCUAGAGAGUUGAUUUUUAACCUGGGCAGUAGGAGAUGUGCUUCAACUAUUAAUAUGUAGCUUUGUGGUGAUGGCAUUGACAUAGAGGGGGAGAUUGCUGGAGAUCCAGUCCUUACACAGUGAGGCUGGAAAAGAGCCAGUUGUUGGAUAAAAUGCAGGAAACAGAACAGGCUGAGAGACAUUCAGGAUAUGAAUUUGUACCUCAGCACGGGCAUACCUGUGAUAGGAAUGGUGAAGACUUCAGAUUCUCCAUCUAGUUCUUUUGUAUAUUGAAUCAUGCAAAGUAUGGAUUAUGCAAAACAGCCCAGCUGUAAUUUCGAGUGAAAGGAGAGACAGGUCAACACUUUGCAGGACUUUACAGGACAGAACUCUAAGCACUGCAAGAGAUCCUGACACCAGUGAAUGAGUCCAUGCAGCAGAUCAUAAACACAUCACCAAGUCAUGAUAUUGGAACAUCACUUCCUGCCGAUACCUAAAUAUUAAUAAUCAGCCAGAUAACUGAUUAUUCUGUGCUCAGCGAGAAACCUUGUGGCUUUGCAACGUUUCACCCGGCGCGCUGCAACAACCAACAUCUCUGCUGCUGAAAGCUCUCAAACAAAAAUAUUCGGAAUAAACUUCCAAUACUUUGGAACCCUGCCAGUCGUGGGCAUCUUUCAGGAGAGGCAGCAGAUACAGGCUUACUGUCCGUUAUUAUGUUUGUCGUCUGCUGUGGUCCUUGAGGUUGCUUCUUGUAUUUCCAGCGGCCGUAAGACGUUCUUGCAGAGCUUACUGGUUAAUCGCGAUACGUUAAACAAGCUGCGAAGUGCUGUGGGAAACCAUUGCAAAGAUACUUAACAGACUGAUACACUACGCUAUGUCUGUAACCUCUUUCCAUCUGAUAGUGCCGUCGUUUUGAAUGGGCUGUGUGGGAGGCAGCCUGUUGCCCCGACCUGAGCUCAUGCCACAUUUCUCAGGCAGAUGCUUCCGUCUCCCCGACGUAACAUGCAGGCUAGACAAGGCUCACGGGAGGGAAACGUGUGAAGUAAUUCCCAUUCCCCCCUCUUCCAAGUAUGUAACACCGUUGUACUGCUUGUCAGAUAUGUUUUGAGACAAUAGUUUUAUUUUUCUCGUCUAUAACAUCAGGUAUUGUUAUCACUAUCAUUACUAUUAUUACGUAUUAUUGAAACCAGUCUGAAACUGCAUACCCAUAUGCAAUUGCAUCUGAAACACUUAACUGAGAUGAGAUGAGAUAACCACGGUGCGCGAGGCUCAGCCAGCUGGAGCAAGGGGGCAGAGGACUUCCAAAGAGGAGCUGGGAUGGCGCAUGCAAAAGGCUCGUUAAAUGCGUCAGCUUCCCUCGCUGGAAGAGCAGGAAAGAUCCAGCCUGAGGCCAGGACCCGGCUUUCUGGGUGAGAAGAAGCACGGGAGCACCAAUGCCUGUGUCUGAGUGGCAUUUCCAGCCGAGUUCCUGGGCUGCGUGGCUGAAAUCUGGCAGAGACCACGUACUAAACUUGACCCCAAAGUGGUGUAACAGACCUGUGGCCUCAUCCUUACCCAACUCCAACGCCUGUCUGCACUUGAACUAAAUGUUAAAAAGUGGUAUUUCCUGAGAGCACUGUGAGGAGCCUUAAGGGCUGGCUACCGGGCAUGCAGUGAGAGCCAACAGCUGGCCUGGCCACUCUGCUCCUUAUCUCCAGACUGAUAGCAUCAAAGGUCUCAGCCUGUUCUGGCUGGGGGCUGGCUCUUGCCAGGCAGUGAAUGGCUUAUGAAGGUGCUUCAGCUUAGAUUUCAGGUGGGUUUCAGCACUGAUGCACUCACUGCAGUAGCAUCCCCAUUACUGAGGACUGGAUCCAAUGUAGGAUUUGGAUAUGUGAAGAACAAAUGCCUCAGGAGGAAAGUGGCCAUAAACCACUUGUGACAGCUGCCCAGCCUGCAUCAGCAGCUUUCUGUGGAAGUUCCCACAAGUGUCUGUAUGAGAGCUCCAGGGAAAACUAUGGAACAGGUCCAGGGAAAAGGAAGGUAACUUUCUUAUAUAAAUGAAAUCAACACAUUUUCACCCACAUUUUUGCUUUUCAUUAAAAUGGAUCCAGCUGUGGAAGCACUAGCAAGGAAGAAUGUGACCUCAGGUCCCUGUUAGAGGGGUGGGAACAAUUGUAGUAAGGGGAAAUCAAUGCAAGAUCUUUUAUGGCCAAUACAGGCUAUAAAUUACAGACCUAGGCAGAUAAAGCAUUUAGAAGUCACACUUGCAGAGCCACGGUGAAGAGAUAACAAAGGAAAACUACACCAAAGUCCCAGUUCUUCAGCACUUAUGAUCUUAAUUAAAGGGUAAUGUAAUCAAUCUGGUGAUUAAUCAUAAACUUUUUAUUGAGGGAGAGUAGUAGGCAUUCCUACCAAAGGCACCAGCGCCCAUUUUGCUAUCAGUCUGUCUAACUCCAUUGCACUGAAUCCUUCCUGCUCUGAAAUAUCUUCAUGGACACCUGUGGACUUAUGUCAAGAUAAGAUCAGCCCAUGGAGAAAAACACAAGAUACUCUACCACCUACCUGGAGUCAAAUAAAUGGAUUCAAAUCCACAUUCCUGCAGGGAGGUGAGAAAUCUGAAUGGCUUGGGUAAUGCACAGCACUGUAUGCAUAAACUACACGUUCCUUAAGGACAUUAAACUUGCAGUCCCUCAGGGGAGGGCAUGAACCAUCACUGCUCCCUGCAGUACACAUGGUGGCAUGAGGGACACCAACAAGGGACACCGCCGCCCAUCCUGCUGCACAGCACCGCCACCGAAGGCAAUGGAGGGUCUGGAAAAGACGGAGCGAUUGCCUGCCACAGCCAGCAAGGACGAAGUGGCCAAGAGUUUGUGCAUUCAGAUCCCUGUGGGAGGAUGGGAACAACCCCUCCAAUCCCUCCUCCACGAUCCUGGCUUUACUGCAAGAACCCAGCCACAAAGCUAAGCCGGUCUGUUUACCAACGUAACAGUCAGAGCAAGAGCUUACAUCAUAUUGGAGCAAACAAAGCCUGGGGGGAAAAUACCUCUAACUUAAGGUAUAUUCUGAUGUAAGAGUAAGAGCUAGCAGCAUUUCAGGGUCCUUUUGUAAUAAUAACUCCCACGCUGGAGCCUUAAGCAUUAAUGGUCUGUGAAAGCUAUUAUUUGAUGUUUUUAGCAUUGAAUUUCAUUCUGACAGGACUUCAUGAUACGUAUUACAGAAAAAAUACUGUUAACCUAAUCAUAUUAAUACCAAAUCUUUGUACUGUAAUAGCCUCAAACAUUUAGAGCAAGGCACAAACCUGACUUUUCAUAAAUACAGAAAGACAGAAGUUUUAAUGAUGUUAUUUUCCUACUGCUUCCCCGACUGCAUCUGUUAGAGUCACUAAGACCAAGGACCAUCAUUCCUCUCUUUUACAGACAGAAGAGUGGAAAAGAUGCUUGGCUUUCCAGGGCCGAACCCUGCACUUCUUAUUCCCAGGGACAGCCUCUUCAGGCAUUAUCAAUUUGUCUUUGUCUUUCCCUUUUUAAGACAUGCCUGGCAUAAGUUGCGUCUGAAAUAUAAUUCCUGAUUUCUGCUGCUGCUGACAGUUUAAAUUAUUAAGAGGAAUUUUAAAGUUCUUUUUAGGUCUCUCACUUUUACAUGACAGUUUUCCUUCCCGCAUUUCAGUUGGUUUUGGUAGUCUUGUCGGAGUCAAUUUUUCUUUCUCUUUAUUAAAACAAACUCUAUGCUGUCUGCCUUUGAUGAGCUUCUAAAUGCAAAGGAAAGAAAAAAAUAUACAGGUAGUAAAUACUCUGAAACAUUCACCUAUGCAUAUAGUUCAGACAAAGUGAAUCUGCAUCCUCAUGUUGUCAAGAAGGGCCCUUUAAGCUUGAAACGAGAGCAGAUUCUUUCAAACUUUCCCAGAGAAUAGCAGUGACCUUGCAGAUCAGAUAACCCAUGGUCUACAAGAGUUCAAAUAUGUCAUCAGGACUUUAUUUUACUGUUCAGUGUUCCUCAGCCUAGUUGUUCAAGUCAGGCUAAUUCCAACCUCUACCCCCCAAAAAAAAGCCCUACAGGAGUGCACAAUGCCAGCAGAGCAGAGCUGGGUAUGAGCAAGGAUAAAUGAGGCCGUCUGUCAAAAGCUGGACUGUCAUUGAGAGGCUGCGAUCCAAUGGGCACAACAUAUUAAACCUAAGGAAAAUACUUGUUCCCCUUACUUCAUUCUCUAGCAGGCUGCAGCUCAUGAAAUCCAUCAUGGACUUCACGUUAGUACAGAAAUUCGCUCCAGCACUUCUCCACUGACUCUCGGUAUUAACUGAGACUUCUCCUGUUUUUAUAAGACAAAUACUUCUUCAUGUUGCUGGGGAAGCAACAGUGUUGCUUCCAAUUUGUUGUUGUACCAAUAGCAUUUGUCUCACUGCAGCGUGAGCCACUGCAGGGAAGAAAACCAGGAGAGGACCAAUCACUUCCAGCAACACUAACUCUACAUUAGUUUAGCCUCAACUUCAAGCUGUACCCUAAGGCUCCAGCUCAGCAACAGGUAUCUUACUUUUGAGCUCAUGAGUAGUUCUGGUGCACUCAUGUGUUUUGACUUAAGCAUGUGCUUCAACCUCUUAUUGAAUGGGCUUCUAAAUCAUUUGAAAUCCAGCCCCAUUUCCAUCACUGAAAACCAUUGUAUUACAUCACUGGGUUGCUCCAGAAGUAGGGAAAAAAUAUUCUUGGUAUUUCUCGAGACAGUUUUACCGUUGUUAUGCUGCUGUUUUGCUGGGAUUCAGCUUCAGUAAACAGUUCCAGCCCCAGUCUGAAUUCAAAGCCAGAACUGGGGUUUGAUGAAACGCUUGGGUGCUGGACUGAACGUGCUCCAACUAUACAGGGAUUUUGGAGAGGAGAGAUAAGGUGAGGGCUUUCAAGCAAAAAUGUAGCCGUUCCCCUUUUCCAGAUCCUCCCCUUCCCAGCGCAGUAUUCUGGGAAACUGCCUGCCCGUUUCAAGACCUGCUGCAAUGAGCCCUGGUGUCAUGGUACAAGGCAGGGAAUUUCAGGUUGGAACUAAGUAUCUUUUUGGGUUUGUUUAUUUCCCUUAAAUUGCCUGAAGUCUUGCUUUCCAAUGUCCCACCACUUUCCAGAGACAAUCUGUCAGAGGAUCCCAACCUCCCUCCAUCCAUCCAUGUGUCUCCGUAGCCCAAUGUGACCAUCGCUAGGGGAUUCCAGGGUUGCACCCUCUCUGUUUUUAGCAGCGUGCCAACUAUUCCCCGUUAUCAUCAUGUGGAUGGAGGCAAGACGUGCUGGCAGAGCCUUACCCUUUCUUGAGAGCCUGGGGACCCUGCAGCACGGGGAACAGCAGGCUCCAGGUCCUUCCUAGGCCAAGACAAUGCUAGUACCAUGGAGAACCUUAUUCUUCGGAAACAAAGCAUCUCUGAUUCAGCUGUUACUCAAAACAGAAAUUCAUGUUUUAGUAGGGCUUUCUGCUUUAACCCAUCUGAAAUGUAAUACCCGUUAACACAGAUGUUAGCACACCUUUGCCUUUUCUUUCUCCCCCAAGAAGAAGAGCCCGCAGUUUAAGGUUGUAAGUCUGAGCAAUUCAGUAAAUGAUGCAAAUACAAAUGAAAAUUAGCCAACAAAAGAAAUUCAAUUGAGUUUAAUAGGAGGCUAUUAUCAUACCUCGCAUUCUCUGCUGCCCUAGCACAGGUAGGAACCAACCACAGGGGACGGAACAGCUCUGUCUGCUCACAUAGCGCAUACAUACAAGGCAAACAGCAGCAGAAAACCCGGUUUAUUUGACUGUAGUCAUUAGCGCUACGCAUUACAGGGUCAGUGCCGCUUCGCAGAGCGCUCCGCGUGUCCCCCCGCUCCCCAAGGAGCAGCACCGCACGGGGCCCGACAGAUGUGAGCCCACCGCGGUGGGGUCUCUCCGGCCCUCGUGUCGCUCCGCCAUCCCCGUUCGGCAGCCGAGCUUCCCGAAUCGGGCCUACUGGCGUCAGCGGGGGGGGGGUGGGGGGGACUGGGCUGGGCCGCGCCGGCCGGCCGCUGGGUGCCGGCAGGCC
rnacentral:lncRNA from 1 species